CAGUCGCCGCGGGAAAACGAGGGGUGCAAGCGUUGUUCGGAAUUAUUGGGCGUAAAGGGCGCGUAGGCGGUUUGACAAGUCUUGUGUGAAAUCUCUGGGCUCAACCCAGAGUCUGCACGGGAAACUGUCGGGCUAGAGGAUGGGAGAGGUGAGUGGAAUUUCCGGUGUAGCGGUGAAAUGCGUAGAUAUCGGAAGGAACACCUGUGGCGAAAGCGGCUCACUGGACCAUUACUGACGCUGAGGCGCGAAAGCUAGGGGAGCAAACAGGAUUAGAUACCCCUGUAGUCCCUGUCUCUUAUAA
rnacentral:rRNA from 1 species